AACAUUGCUACGUUGAUUCGACAUACCUCUUAGUUAUAAUAUUUUCCUGGCAAUUCUGGAUUGUAAAUGACACCUAUAUUUUCCAAAUCCUAUAGCCAGUUUUAGGUUUUUGAACACUUAAAGUUAAUAAGCUUCCAUCAGUAGCAAUGUCUGUUUUCUGAAACAUUCCUUUAUAGAGAGGGGAGGGUAUUUGCUAAUUCGUUGUCAAUACCACUGAAUAGUAGGUCAAUUGGCGCAGUUUGUUUCACACUCUGAUACAAGUCCUAUGUUCUGUCAAAAAGAGGACUGAUGGAGCUAUAGCUUCAUUUAUUCAUGUUUUGAUCCAUUUUCCUCUACCCAAGUACAGAGUUCCCUUCCACUUUCUUGUUUGGGACUCGAAUAGAUUAGAGCAGGAGUUUCAGUUCUGGCUUGUUUAAUUCAUUCCUUUCUUUUUGAGCGGUAAAGGACAGAAGGAGAGGCUCCUACUAUUUUGUAUUUAAAUUUCUGUAUUACAUGUACAACAAGCCACUACAUCAUCCACCUACAUCUCCCAUCCCAGAGAAGGGAGUGAGAGACACAUUGGUUGGAUGGUAGGGGAAGGGGGGCUAAAAGAGGGAAAACAGUGAAGAGGGAGAUGCCGCCUACACAAGGUGCUAAUCAGAGAAUCAAUAGAAGGCCCAAGUCUAGACUUAGCUCUAUGGGCUAAGAGGGCAAAGUCUAGCUUGAAUCUGUUGGUCCAGGAUCUAUGAGUUGGGGGGGAUUCGUUGGAAAAUUUUGCCGUUCCUCUCUUUCCAAAUACCCCACGCGGCUGCCGUGAAAACCUCCAUGAACAUUGGUCUCGACCAUCCAUCCCUAGCGGAGUGAAUCAAUUUUUAGUCUGUUGCUAUCUGAGAGCCAGGUCAUUUGCAGGUCUUCCCAACACUUGUUGAAUGGGCACGUGAAAAACAAGUGCUCCACCAUUUCUUCAGACCCCGAGUCACAUAGGACACAGUCCACGUUGUCGUCCACAUUGAAGUGCCUAUGGCUCAGCAUGUUUUUCGUAUUGAUUCUGUCAGCUAGGAUCAGCCAUGCAAACACCUUGAGCUUCAUUAUACAGGCCGACUUCCAGAUCCACACGAACUCCUUGUCGGCUGUGACAUCCUUGAAAUAGAAUUUGUAGUAUUUGGCAGAUGAAAGCUCUCCCCCCGUACAGGCCCAUUUGUCUUUUGUUGCGUUAUCGGGUGACGUCGAGGCAGUCAACAGUUGCAUGGUCUUGGACCUCCUCGUACGCUUGCGCAGAGAGGGGCAGGUGGAAUCCUUGAUUGGUGUCCUCAAUACCAAGUAAUUCUGCCACAGAGGCGUCUUCUGUUUUAUCGUAAGAGAAUGCUCGGGGGUGUGUAUCAGCAAUGAUCUCGUCUAGCCAUAAAUCCUUCCAAAACAGAGCAGUGGAUCCAUCCCCGAUCUGAACUCUCGUGAUCCCUCUGUAAAUAUCAUUCAGCUGCAUUAUGUCUUUCCACCAGAACGAGCCAUAAAUUUCCAAAGCGUGAGGGACCUUGUCAGCAUAGUACGUAGCCCACUAGGUCGACCCAAGGCACGCCCUUUUUGUUGUAGAAGUUGUGUAGGUGUUUGAGAAGCAGACCCGUGUUUUGCACCUGAAGAUUUAUUAUGCCAAGGCCCCCUUUCUUCUUCGGGCGACAAACAAUGUCCCAUGCAGCAAGAGAGUUGCAUGUUUCUCCAUUUUCCAUAUUCUUACGCCAAAGACAUCUUCGGAUCUUGUCGAGGUGCUCAAUCAGCUUUGGAGGGAAUUUAAUAAUGGUGCACAUCGGGUAGAUUAUCAUAUAGGUCAGGACUGGAUUCAGGAGCUGAAGUUUGCUGCCAUGAGAGAGCAUGCUGAGCGAUGAAGACAACCGCCUCUCAACACUGUUCACCACUGGCAUAAGAUCUAUGAUCGUUGGUCUGGUAGUUCCCAUCGGCAAUCCCAGAUAGGUGAAUGGCUUCGAACCAGUCGAGCACUGAAAGAUUUGAGCUAAAUUCAACAGCCAGAGGUCCAGUAGUGUUGAUGGGUACUAGGACAAAUAUCUGAAAAUUAAUUUUCAGACCAAUGGAAUCAGCAUAGUCCAUGAGGAGUUGCUUCAUUUUGCUAGCUUGGGUAGGGCGCGCUGGCAUGGCAAGUAUCGUGUCAUCAGCGUACUGUAUCACUGGGUAAUCUGGUGAUCCUCGCGCAGGGAAGGGAGUUCAAUUAUGUUGGGCCGAUGUGCUUCGUUGAUAGCCGACUGGAGAAGAUCUGCCGCAAGAACGAAAAUGAGGGGGGAAAGAGGAUCCCCCUGACGGACACCGCGUUGACAGAUGAAUUGUCUACCGGGCACGCCAUUCAACAGCAUCGACGACAUCCCAGAGUUGAAGAUACACUCAAUCCACCCAAGCCAGCGAGCGUCGAAGCCCAUGUUCUUCAUAAUUUCCAGCAUAGCAGAGUGUUCAAUUAUAUCGAAGGCUUUGGCAAAAUCUAGCUUCAACAGAACGAUUUCUUUUCCCGAGUUUUGACAUUGAAAGAUGUACUCCUGGAUUGUGUGGUCGCGUAGGAAGCCGUACUGGUUCCCGAUGAACAAUUUUCAGUAUCAAUUUUUGGAGUCGAUUUGCAAGGAGUUCUGUAAUGAUUUUCAAACAGCAGUUCAAUAGUGUAAUUGGCCUUUAGUCAUUUGUUGUUUGAGGCGAUCCGGUUUUCGGGAUAAGAGUAAUGAAUCCCAAAUUGAUGCUUUUCUGAUCGAAGGUUCCAUGGUAAAAAUCACCACACAGUUGAUAGAAAUCGUUUCUGAUGAUGUGCCAGCAGGUUUUCAGAAACAUGCCAUUGAACCCGUCAGGUCCAGGUGCGCGAUCAGCAGGCUUUUUUUUGACAACCUCGUCAAUUUCCUUAUGUGUGAAAGGUUCAGACAAUGUUUCUGAACCAUGUACCUUUUGGAUUAUGGAUGGUAAAUCAAAUUUCAUAGCCGGAGGGGAUGAUUCACCUAGUCGCUGUUUAAAGGCUUGGAAAAGGACAGCCUCUUUGGCAGUAUGAUCAUGCACUUCAGUGCCAUCAGGGAGCUUGAGAGAUGCAAUUGAGUUUUUUCUGUACCGUUCAGUUGCCAAGGCUUGAAAAAGCUUGGUGUUCUCUUCUCCGAAUUUAAUCCAUCGAAUAGUGCAACGCUUCUUCCAAUAGGCGUUUUGGUGCUGCAGGAGGGUGAGGAGAUGGGCUUUGACAAUCCUUCUGAAGUUCUUCUCCGGGGUAGAUAGUGGCUGCAGGUCUUUGAGCCCAUCUAGCCCAACCAGGGCCUCAUUGUAGUUUUGAAUCAGAAUUGAGAGGCGGGAAAUCCCCUUACUCCAAUUCUUGAGCUCAUAUCUCAGUUUUUUGAACUUUCUGCAUAUGAGGGCAGCACUAUUUGUGGUGUGGCAAGGACUGUUCCAAGAGUUUGCGACCACAUCGAGAAAACCUUAGUGGUUGAUCCAACAAUUUUCAAAGCGGACGAUUUUGCUCUUGGGGAUCUUUGUUUCAAUGGUAACAACAUAGGGGCAGUGAUCGGAGACAGGUUUUCCUAGAGCCGUCGCCGCAGUGUUUGGACACAAGAGAGUAUUACUCGAAGAGAAAACCCAAUCAAGUUGUUCCAGCAAGGGAUCCUCUUGCAUAUUGCUCCAGGUGAAUGAGCGCCCUUUUAGGGGAAUUUCAACUAGUGCCUGACUGCGGAUUAUGUCAUUGAAUAACAUGAUAUCAUUUAGGUCUCCUCCAGGUUUAUUCCUGUAACUUACGGAUCCUAUGAAAUUAAAAUCGCCCAAGAGGAGGCAGUCUUCAGAGUUCUGGAUGUUCAGGAUAAAGCCAAGUAGUGAAAGAAUUCCUGUCUUCGCCACGACAUGGGCCAGAUAUAUUGAAAAGCUUCCAAACAUUUCCAGAUAACUUAGAAGUAAAUUCAAUACCCACUGCGAAAAUAUCAGAGAAAGUAGUUACUCCAUCAAAGACUAUUCCACACUGAAAGAAUACCACCAGAGGCCCAACGAGAUGGCACGAAAGCAAAUUUAUCGAAUCUUCGGGGACAAAGGUCUUGAUGAAGUUCAAAUCAAAGUGCAAGCGCUCGGUCUCUUGCAAACAUAUUACAUCACAACCACUGAUAGAAAUGGCGUUUCUUAUAGCUAGUAGCUUAUCAUCUGAAUUUAUUCCACGCACAUUCCAAACAAGCACCUUCCAUUGUUUCUUACCAGAUAUAGAUGAUUAUGCAGUGGAGGAGGAAGAAGUCUCUUCCUGCGGCUCAGCUGUCAACCUGGAAAUGGAGAGCUCUUCGGCCGGAAUCCCACAUCUAACAGUCCCAAUGUACUGGAAGCGGGGCAGGAUCAGCCGCCGUCUUGGCGAUGGGAGCAGCAGCAGAGGUGGUGUUGGCCUGGUUGGGGUCAUCCUAGGCUUGACUUUGCUUUUGGUGGUGUGAGUCUUUGCCAGGGAGGGGGCCUUGAAUCCGUUGUACUUGUUCGCCCGGUCACUACGACGAAGCUGGAUAGUAACAAUUUCAGCAACUAUCUUAGUCUUGCGUCCCCUUGCGUGCAGUGGGUCUGUCAGAGAUCAUUGCAGUGGUGUCACUCAUUACAAUCCCCAGGCUAUCAGACUGUAUCUGUAGCAACAGAGGGACCAGUAUCGGCCAGGUGGUCUUCAGAGCAUGAGCUACAAACGAGAACUGCAGUUUCUUGCAGAAAAGAGUAGCAUUCUGAUCCAUACCUGGUUUAUAGGUGAUCAUCAAAGGCAUAGCUAUAGAUGUAAGACCUGAAGAAAUCAAUGAGCUGGUUGAAGGGCAGUACC